rnacentral:rRNA from 1 species
AGCAGUGGGGAAUAUUGCACAAUGGGCGAAAGCCUGAUGCAGCAACGCCGCGUGAGGGACGAAGGCCUUCGGGUUGUAAACCUCUUUUAGUAGGGAAGAAGCGAAAGUGACGGUACCUGCAGAAAAGGCACCGGCUAACUACGUGCCAGCAGCCGCGGUAAUACGUAGGGUGCAAGCGUUGUCCGGAAUUAUUGGGCGUAAAGAGCUCGUAGGCGGUUUGUCGCGUCUGCUGUGAAAACCCGAGGCUCAACCUCGGGCCUGCAGUGGGUACGGGCAGACUAGAGUGCGGUAGGGGAGAUUGGAAUUCCUGGUGUAGCGGUGGAAUGCGCAGAUAUCAGGAGGAACACCAAUGGCGAAGGCAGAUCUCUGGGCCGUAACUGACGCUGAGGAGCGAAAGCAUGGGGAGCGAACAGGAUUAGAUACCCUGGUAGUCCAUGCCGUAAACGUUGGGAACUAGAUGUGGGGACCAUUCCACGGUCUCCGUGUCGCAGCUAACGCAUUAAGUUCCCCGCCCUGGGGAGUACGGCCGCAAGGCUAAAAACUCAAAGGAAUUGACGGGGGCCCGCACAA